rnacentral:rRNA from 1 species
UACAGAGGUCUCGAGCGUUGUUCGGAUUCAUUGGGCGUAAAGGGUGCGUAGGCGGCGCGGUAAGUCGGGUGUGAAAUCUUGGAGCUUAACUCCGAAACUGCAUUCGAUACUGCCGUGCUUGAGGACUGGAGAGGAGACUGGAAUUUACGGUGUAGCGGUGAAAUGCGUAGAUAUCGUAAGGAAGACCAGUGGCGAAGGCGGGUCUCUGGACAGUUCCUGACGCUGAGGCACGAAGGCCAGGGGAGCAAACGGG